AGGGCGCACGGUGGAUGCCUUGGCACUAGGAGCCGAAGAAGGACGUGACAAACGACGAUAUGCCUUGGGUAGCUGUAAGUAAGCGAUGAUCCAGGGAUUUCCGAAUGGGGGAACCCAACAGGUACUACCUGUUACCCACAUCUGUUAAGGAUGUGAGGAGGAAGACGCAGUGAACUGAAACAUCUAAGUAGCUGCAGGAAGAGAAAGCAAAAGCGAUUGCCUUAGUAGCGGCGAGCGAAACGGCAGGAGGGCAAACCGAAGAGUUUACUCUUCGGGGUUGUAGGACUGCAAUGUGGACUCAAAGAUUAUAGAAGAAUGAUUUGGGAAGAUCAGCCAAAGAGAGUAACAGCCUCGUAUUUAAAAUAGUCUUUGUACCUAGCAGUAUCCUGAGUACGGCGGGACACGUGAAAUCCCGUCGGAAUCUGGGAGGACCAUCUCCCAACCCUAAAUACUCCCUAGUGACCGAUAGUGAACCAGUACCGUGAGGGAAAGGUGAAAAGCACCCCGGGAGGGGAGUGAAAUAGAACCUGAAACCGUGUGCCUACAACAAGUUCGAGCCCGUUAAUGGGUGAGAGCGUGCCUUUUGUAGAAUGAACCGGCGAGUUACGAUAUGAUGCGAGGUUAAGUUGAAGAGACGGAGCCGUAGGGAAACCGAGUCUGAAUAGGGCGCCUUAGUAUCAUGACGUAGACCCGAAACCAUGUGACCUACCCAUGAGCAGGUUGAAGGUGCGGUAAAACGCACUGGAGGACCGAACCAGGGCACGUUGAAAAGUGCUUGGAUGACUUGUGGGUAGCGGAGAAAUUCCAAACGAACUUGGAGAUAGCUGGUUCUCUCCGAAAUAGCUUUAGGGCUAGCGUCGACAUAAAGAUUCUUGGAGGUAGAGCACUGUUUGGGUGAGGGGUCCAUCCCGGAUUACCAAUCUCAGAUAAACUCCGAAUGCCAAAGAAUUAUGGUCGGCAGUCAGACUGCGAGUGCUAAGAUCCGUAGUCGAAAGGGAAACAGCCCAGACCACCAGCUAAGGUCCCAAAAUAAUUGUUAAGUGGAAAAGGAUGUGGGGUUGCACAGACAACUAGGAUGUUAGCUUAGAAGCAGCUAUUCAUUCAAAGAGUGCGUAAUAGCUCACUAGUCGAGUGACCCUGCGCCGAAAAUGUACCGGGGCUAAAACAAUUUACCGAAGCUGUGGAUACCUUUAUAGGUAUGGUAGGAGAGCGUUCUAUGUGUGAUGAAGGUAUACCGUGAGGAGUGCUGGAACGCAUAGAAGUGAGAAUGCCGGUAUGAGUAGCGAAAGACAGGUGAGAAUCCUGUCCACCGUAAGACUAAGGUUUCCAGGGGAAGGCUCGUCCGCCCUGGGUUAGUCGGGACCUAAGGAGAGACCGAAAGGUGUAUCCGAUGGACAACAGGUUGAUAUUCCUGUACUAGAGUAUGUAGUGAUGGAGGGACGCAGUAGGCUAACUAAAGCAGACGAUUGGAAGUGUCUGUCUAAGCAGUGAGGUGUGAUAUGAGUCAAAUGCUUAUAUCUAUAACAUUGAGCUGUGAUGGGGAGCGAAGUUUAGUAGCGAAGUUAGUGAUGUCACACUGCCGAGAAAAGCUUCUAGCGUUAAUCAUACUCUACCCGUACCGCAAACCGACACAGGUAGUCGAGGCGAGUAGCCUCAGGUGAGCGAGAGAACUCUCGUUAAGGAACUCGGCAAAAUGACCCCGUAACUUCGGGAGAAGGGGUGCUGACUUUAAGUCAGCCGCAGUGAAUAGGCCCAAGCAACUGUUUAUCAAAAACACAGCUCUCUGCUAAAUCGUAAGAUGAUGUAUAGGGGGUGACGCCUGCCCGGUGCUGGAAGGUUAAGAGGAGUGCUUAGCGUAAGCGAAGGUAUGAAUUGAAGCCCCAGUAAACGGCGGCCGUAACUAUAACGGUCCUAAGGUAGCGAAAUUCCUUGUCGGGUAAGUUCCGACCCGCACGAAAGGCGUAACGAUUUGGGCACUGUCUCAACGAUGGACUCGGUGAAAUCAUAGUACCUGUGAAGAUGCAGGUUACCCGCGACAGGACGGAAAGACCCCAUGGAGCUUUACUGCAGUUUGAUAUUGAGUGUCUGUACCACAUGUACAGGAUAGGUAGGAGUCUAAGAGAUCGGGACGCCAGUUUCGAAGGAGACGUUGUUGGGAUACUACCCUUGUGUUAUGGCCACUCUAACCCGGAUAGGUGAUCCCUAUCGGAGACAGUGUCUGACGGGCAGUUUGACUGGGGCGGUCGCCUCCUAAAAGGUAACGGAGGCGCCCAAAGGUUCC
rnacentral:rRNA from 1 species